rnacentral:rRNA from 1 species
CCUACGUGUGGCAGCAGUGAGGAAUAUUGGUCAAUGGGCGCGAGCCUGAACCAGCCAAGUAGCGUGAAGGAUGACUGCCCUAUGGGUUGUAAACUUCUUUUAUCCAAGAAUAAAGUGCGGCCCGUGUGCCUUUUUGUAUUUACUUUAUGAAUAAGCAUCGGCUAACUCCGUGCCAGCAGCCGCGGUAAUACGGAGGAUCCGAGCGUUAUCCGGAUUUAUUGGGUUUAAAGGGGUCUUAGCUGGGUUGUUAAGUCAGCUGUGAAAGUUGUCGGUUAAAACGUUUAAUUGCAAUUGAUACUGGCAGUCUUGAGUACGGGUGAGGUAGGCGGAAUGCGUGGUGUAGCGGUGAAAUGCAUAGAUAUCACGAAGAACUCCGAUUGCGAAGGCAGCUCACUAAACUGCCACUGACGUUGAUGCACGAAAGUGUGGGUAUCAAACAGGAUUAGAUACCCCAGUAGUC